rnacentral:tRNA from 1 species
AAAAGAGUAGUUUAAGAAAAAUUUUCGGUUUCGGCCUGUUUGUUUUUGGUUAGAGUCCAAACUCUUUUU